AAUAUUUAUUAUUUAUUUAAAAUAAAAAUCAGCCCUUAAUGUUUUAAUAAUUUAUAAAAAUAUUUCCUUUAGAAUUUUUUCUUUUUUAAUUUCAGAUUAAAUCCAAAGAUUAACGGUGGAUUAAAAUCCGUCCCCCUUUAAUCCAGCUUCUCUAAUAAAACGUCUGAAUGACGUCAUUUCAGGAAUAUUCUGAAUAUUAGAAGUUCUGGAUCAGAGGAAACGAAGGAUUUAAUCUGGAUUAAAGGUUCAGAAAAUGUUUUAGAACUCGCUUCUGGAUUUGAACCCGAUCCGAUCUUUGACGGAACCAAAGGGUCUCUGGUUCUGGAUGGGUUCUGCUCCUGGGUUCUGUAACUGGUCAGAACCUCCACUGGAUGUAGGCCCAGAACCAGCAGCCUGGAGGUCCGCGGCUGGUUCUGCUCGGUCCAAAUGGACUCAGGCUGACAGGUUCUGGUUCUGCUCGGUCCAAAUGGACUCACGCUGACAGGUUCUGGUUCUGCUCGGUCCAAAUGGACUCAGGCUGACAGGUUCUGGUUCUGCUCGGUCCAAAUGGACUCACGCUGACAGGUUCUGGUUCUGCUCGGUCCAAAUGGACUCAGGCUGACAGGUUCUGGUUCUGAGAACCGUAAAGUUCUGGUGGUUUUUGCAGAGAAUGAUCAGAACCGACCCAAAGUGAACGGACUGAGAUCGGUUCUGUUAGUCUAGAAAACAGAACCAGAACUUCUCCAACAAUCUGGCUUUGAUGCUUCUGCUCCUAGAACUCCUAGAUCUGUCCAAUCACAGCUCCUCCUGCAGGAACAGCCUUUCUAUUGGUCAGUGUGUCGACCAAUAGAAAUUAGUCUGCUCCUGGUUGCCCUUAGCGACAGCUUCUCUAUUGGUCGCCACAGCGAUCAGCCAGCAAUCUGGGAAAAAAUUAAAUCUGGAUUAACAUCAAACUGGGAAAUGAGACCCAGUUGAACCUGGUUCUGACCCAGUAGAACCGGUCCUCCACUGCCAACCACACUAAAAACUGUCACCAUGGAAACGGCUGACCCCCCCUGUGCAGCAUGCCCCCUCCCCUCCAUGUUUACACCCGGUCCAGUAGAACCGGCCUUCAAUCUGUUUGUUCUACUUUUAUAUUUCUACAUAUUUAUGUCAGCAGGAAUGAAUAAACCAGUCUGUUUGCACAUCCCA